rnacentral:rRNA from 1 species
AAUAUUGCACAAUGGGCGAAAGCCUGAUGCAGCAACGCCGCGUGAGUGAUGACGGCCUCCGGGUCGUAAAUCUCUUUUAUCAGGGACGAUAAUGACAGUACCUGAAAAACAAGCCACGGCUAACUACGUUCCAGCAGCCGCGGUAAUACGUAGGUGGCGCGUCUUGUCCGGAAUUACUGGGCGUAAAGGAUGCGUAGGUGGAUACUUAAGUGGGAUGUGGAAUCCCCGGGCUCAACCCGGGAACUGCAUUCCAAACUGGGUAUCUAGAGUGCAGGAGAGGAAAGCGGAAUUCCUAGUGUAGCGGUGAAAUGCGUAGAUAUUAGGAGGAACACCAGUGGCGAAGGCGGCUUUCUGGACUGUGACUGACACUGAGGCAUGAAAGCGUGGGUAACAAACAGG